AGGUGCAGCGGGUCUCGCCGUGUCCCCAGCCUGCUGCGGGCGCGGGAACUCCGGGCAGACCGGCAGAGGGGCGCCCCGGCCUCUGCGUCUCAGCCCGCCCCGGGGGUGCGGUGUUUGCGGCCAGGCUUUCAGCGCGGAAAAAGAUUGGAGGGUCCUAGUCACCCCAAAGACGACAGGCAUUAGCAGAGCCGCGGGCGGCGGGUGCAUGGAACCAGAAUGUGCUGCGCGCCCGCCUGGAGCGCUCGGAGCCCGGAGGCCUGCCCGGGAGGGGAAAACGCGGCGGGGCGGCCAUGGGCCCCGGGGUCCUGCCCCAGGUUUGCUUCUCAUUUGUGCUCCAUCCAACAAGAGCUCGUAUUCCGUGUGCCAUGAACUGUGUCAAGGGCUCCAAGUGCCAGGGCUGCUAUAACAAAGUACCACAAACUGGGUGGCUCCAAGCAUGUUUACUGUCUCACAGUGCUGAAGAAAUCUACAAGGCCAUGCUCCCUGUGAAAGACCAGAUGAAGAAGCUGUGGUGGAUCAGGGUGGGACCAGUACAAUUCUCAACAUUCACUAUGAAAAAGAAGAGCUGGAAGUCUUCACAAGAUCCCUGUGAAGUUUGCAGGCAUGUGCAGGACAAAGGAAGAGAACUUCAACUCCAAAAUCUCUAUAUCUUUACUCCUGGAAGUCUUUGAAGUUUUGUUGUUCCAGAGCUGUGACCAGACCAAAGAACUGUGAUAUUUUCUUCUCUUAACUAUGCUAGGCUUUUUUUUUUUUUUAAAAAAAAAACUAAAGGAGUUCUCUCCACAGACCUUCUGCUUCUUUCCAGGUCAUAGAACUCUAUAUGUGGGAGUUCGGAUGCCGCUUGGCCGGCAGAGCCAUCGGCAUCACCGCACUCAUGGCCAGAAGCACCGGAGACGAGGGCGGGGCAAAGGAGCCAGCCAGGGGGAGGAAGGCCUGGAAGCCCUGGCCCACGACACACCAUCUCAGCGUGUUCAGUUCAUUCUUGGCACCGAGGAAGAUGAAGAGCAUGUGCCUCAUGAGCUGUUUACAGAGCUGGAUGAGAUCUGUAUGAAAGAGGGAGAAGAUGCUGAGUGGAAGGAAACAGCCAGGUGGCUGAAGUUUGAAGAAGAUGUUGAAGAUGGGGGAGAACGCUGGAGCAAGCCUUAUGUGGCAACCCUUUCAUUGCACAGCCUGUUUGAGCUAAGGAGCUGCCUUAUUAAUGGAACAGUCCUUCUGGAUAUGCGUGCAAAUAGCAUAGAAGAAAUUUCAGACCUCAUCCUGGAUCAGCAAGAACUGUCCAGUGACCUGAAUGACAGCAUGAGGGUUAAAGUGCGGGAAGCCCUUCUCAAAAAGCAUCAUCAUCAGAAUGAAAAGAAGAGAAACAACCUCAUUCCCAUUGUUCGCUCCUUUGCUGAGGUUGGCAAGAAGCAGUCUGAUCCUCAUUCAAUGGAUAAACAUGGUCAAACCGUGUCUCCUCAGUCUGUUCCAACUACAAAUCUUGAAGUAAAAAAUGGAGUGAAUUGUGAACAUAGUCCUGUGGAUUUAAGCAAGGUAGACCUUCAUUUCAUGAAAAAAAUUCCUACUGGGGCUGAGGCCUCCAAUGUCCUGGUUGGAGAGGUGGAUAUUUUGGACCGUCCCAUUGUUGCCUUUGUGAGGCUGUCUCCAGCUGUUCUUCUCUCAGGCCUAACAGAAGUGCCAAUCCCAACAAGAUUUUUGUUUAUCUUAUUGGGUCCAGUAGGGAAAGGUCAGCAGUACCAUGAGAUUGGCAGAUCCAUGGCCACCAUCAUGACAGAUGAGGUAUGUGCAACUUUUGCUUCAGUCUUCCAUCUCAUAAAUAUUUAUUGAAUAUUUACUCUGUGCCAGGCACUAUGCUAGUUAUUGGGGAUAAAAUACUUUCCAUUGCAGUGUCUGCUGGGAAGUAGUUCAGGGUACUUCUCUGAGAGCCCAGUGUGGAAGGACCAAGCUCUAGAGGAUUUUUCUUCCUAUGUUAUCUCUCCUUUUUUGAGUAAUCAAGAAUGCAGAGAAAUCUUUUUCUGGGGAAACUAUUAUUGCCAAGUAGGAUAUAGAGAGAAAUAUAUUAAGGUUGGCUUAACUUUCAAGAGAAGAUGGUUAAAUACAUUCAAGCUAUUUACAUAAAGAAACCUCACUCCUGUUCCACUAAAUGAGACCAGUUUGUAUAAGGUCAUGGGUAUGACCUCAGGCAGUGUAGUGUGAAUGUCUUGACUAGUCUGUACCAAAACAACCAGACAUUUUGACAUUUUGACAUUGAACCCACAGUGCAUACUCUGGUAAGGACUGCACUGCUCGGUAAGCUGCAAAGUAGGGCUUUCAAGGCAUAUGCCUUAGGCGGCAGAGGGAGGUGUGGCCUGUUUUUUAUCAGCUUUCUUUGAUUGAGAGGCUUAAUUCAGGAAGGACCUUCAUUAGUAAUUCCAUCCAGUGUUUCCAACCUUUAAGAUCAAGAAAAUUUCCCUCUCAACCUGGGAAAGCUGAUUAAAAAAAAUUUUUUUUUCAUACAUCUUGCCUUUCCUUCCAUCCUUUGUGGAGAUAACAUAAUUGUACAACUUUAGAUUCAUGUCUUAUCUCUUCUUAUACUAGCAGACAUGUAUUUAGUUCUUUUUGAUGCAUCUCAUUUCCACGUUUGUUUUUUAAAUCCUUUUAUCCUUGUACUUCUCUAAGUGCUAAAGUUUUCUGCAUCUCAGAUCCCCAUGACAGAGAUAAAAAUCAAGAGGUUGUAUUCAUUUUUCACCAUAUCCCUUGGUGAUUGUUUCACGUAAAGUUACUUUUAACUUUCCUGAGGGUUUUUUCUUCUCUGUAGAUUUUUCAUGACGUAGCAUAUAAGGCAAAAGAGCGAGAUGAUCUCCUGGCGGGGAUUGAUGAGUUCCUAGACCAGGUGACGGUGCUCCCUCCAGGAGAGUGGGAUCCCUCCAUUAGAAUUGAGCCACCCAAAAACGUCCCUUCCCAGGUAAUGUAUGCACAUCAGCCAAUGUGGCUAUUGUCACUUACUAACUGCCCACCAUGGACAAAGCAAAGACCAUGUGGGUAUAUGCUAAAUAUAUCAAGAUGCAGCUCUGUUUUGGUGCACAUAGAAUAUCAAAACAAUAAUAAAAAUGAAUCUGGGCUGGGUGUGGUGGCUCAUGCCUGUAAUCCCAGCACUUUGGGACGCCGAGGCAGGUAGAUCACUUGAGAUCAGGAGUUUGAGACCAGCGUGGCCAACAUGGUGAAACCCCAUCUCUACUAAAAAUACAAAAAUUAGCUGGGCGUGGUGGUGGGUGCCUAUAAUCCCAGCUACUUGGGCGGCUGGGGCAGGAGAAUCGCUUGAACCCGGGAGGUGGAGGUUGUAGUAAGCCAAGAUGGUGCCACUGCACUCCAGCUUGGGUGACAGAGCGAGACUCCACCUC
rnacentral:sRNA from 1 species